rnacentral:rRNA from 1 species
UGAAUACGAGAUGCUACGGCGUCGAAGCAGUCUAUGUCAUACUUCCAAGAAAAGCUUGCACUGUCAUAAACAAAUAAUGCCUGUACCAUAACCGACACAGGUGGGUAGGUAGAGUAUACUAAGGGGCGCGAGAUAACUCUCUCUAAGGAACUCGGCAAAAUGACUCCGUAACUUCGGGAGAAGGAGUGCCUUAUUUAUAAGGUUGCAAUAACAAGAUCCAAGCAACUGUUUACCAAAAACACAGGUCUCCGCUAAGUCGUAAGACGAUGUAUGGGGGCUGACGCCUGCCCAGUGCCAGAAGGUUAAAGAAGUUGGUUAGCAUCCGCGAAGCUGAUAACUGAAGCCCUGGUGAACGGCGGCCGUAACGAUAACGGUCCUAAGGUAGCGAAAUUCCUUGUCGGGUAAGUUCCGACCCGCACGAAAGCCGUAAUGAUUUGGAUACUGUCUCGGAGAGGGGCUCGGUGAAAUAGACUUGUCUGUGAAGAUGCGGACUACCUGCACCAGGACAGAAAGACCUUAUGAAGCUUUACUGUAACCUGAAAUUGAAAUUGGACUUUACUUGCGCAGUAUAGGUGGGAGGCGUUGAGAAUAUUCUUGCGGGAUUAUUGGAGCCAUCAGUGAGAUACCACUCUUGUAAUGUUAGAUUUCUAACUUUGUAUCAUUAUCUGGUCAAAGAACAGUUUCAGGCGGGCAGUUUGACUGGGGCGGUCGCCUCCUAAACGGUAACGGAGGCGCGCAAAGGUUUCCUCUGAACGGGUAGAAAUCGUAUCUAGAGUGUAAAGGCAUAAGGAAGCUUGACUGUGAGACCUACAAGUCGAGCAGGGACGAAAGUCGGUCUUAGUGAUCUGACGGUGCUGAGUGGAAAGGCCGUCACUCAACGGAUAAAAGUUACUCUAGGAUAACAGGCUGAUCUCCCCCAAGAGUUCACAUCGACGGGGAGGUUUGGCACCUCGAUGUCGGCUCAUCGCAUCCUGGGGCGGUAGUACGUCCCAAGGGUUGGGCUGUUCGCCCAUGAAAGCGGUACGCGAGCUGGGUUCAGAACGUCGUGAGACAGUUCGGUCCAUAUCCGGUGUAGGCGUUAGAAUAUUGAGAGGAGCCUUCUUUAGUACGAGAGGACCGAGAAGGACAUACCUCUGGUGUACCAGUUAUCGUGCCAACGGUAAACGCUGGGUAGCUAUGUGUGGAGUGGAUAACCGCUGAAAGCAUCUAAGUGGGAAGCCCACCUCAAGAUAAGUAUUCUCAU